CUCGAAUCCUGUGGUCGACUAAGUCACUAGCCAAGAGAAACGAGUCAGUACGUUCUGAAAUGCAGUCUACACCAACGAGGGUCGGUCUUCCGAGACGCCCUUCUUCUGUGCUGACAUUCACCGCCAUCCCACGAAUGAAACUGAAUGGUCACAUAACUACCCCAGGAACUUAGAGCUGAACUGCAGACGUUUAUUGUCCCCAGCAUAUUUAUAUCUCAUAUCGGUCUCUUGGAAAGUAUGUUGAUCUGUGCAUACGAGUCAUCUAUAUUUGCAUUUUUAUUGGAAGUGUGAGUUACCUAAAGAGGUAUCUUUUAUUUCGAGAUAUAUACAUUUUUUUGUUAAUCCAUGUUUAUGUAUGUUUAACCUAUGUUUACUUUUCUUUGAAUUGCAGUUCAAUAAAUUUUAAAAGGUUU